rnacentral:rRNA from 1 species
UACGUAGGUGGCAAGCGUUGUCCGGAUUUACUGGGCGUAAAGGGCGUGCAGGCGGUUUGUUAAGUGCAGGGUGAAAGCUCCCGGCUCAACUGGGAGAGGUCCUUGCAUACUGGCAAUCUCGAGGGAGGCAGAGGAAAGUGGAAUUCCCGGUGUAGUGGUGAUAUGCGUAGAUAUCGGGAGGAACACCUGUGGCGAAGGCGGCUUUCUGGGCCUUACCUGACGCUGAGACGCGAAAGCGUGGGGAGCGAACCGG